rnacentral:tRNA from 1 species
GCCUGGGUGGCUCAGUUGGUUGAGCAACUGACUUCGGCUCAGGUCAUGAUCUCGUGGUCUGUGAGUUCGAGCCCCACGUUGGGCU